GCCUAGUAGAUACCUGAAACCACAGAUAGUAUGGAACCCUAUGUAUACGGUUUCUUCCUCUACAUACAUACCUAUGAUAAAGUUAAAUGUAUAAACUAGGUACAGUAAGAGACUAACAAUAAUAAACUAGAACAAUUGUAACAAUAUACUGUAAUAGCAGUUAUGUGAAUGUGGUCUCUCUCUC